rnacentral:rRNA from 1 species
UACGUAGGGUGCGAGCGUUGUCCGGAAUUAUUGGGCGUAAAGAGCUUGUAGGCGGUUUGUCGCGUCUGCCGUGAAAAUCCGGGGCUCAACCCCGGACUUGCGGUGGGUACGGGCAGACUAGAGUGCGGUAGGGGAGACUGGAAUUCCGGGUGUAGCGGUGGAAUGCGUAGAGAUCCGGAAGAACACCGGAGGCGAAGGCGGCUUGCUGGGCGUGAUCUGACGCUGAGGCGCGAAAGCGUGGGGAGCGAACAGG